rnacentral:rRNA from 1 species
GCAAGUCGAACGAAGACCUGGAGCUUGCUCCGGAUCUCUUAGUGGCGAACGGGUGAGUAACGCGUGGGAAUCUACCUUAAAGUGGGGAAUAACUAUUGGAAACGAUAGCUAAUACCGCAUAAUCCCUCAGGGGCAAAGGCUUCGGCCGCUUUUAGAUGAGCCCGCGUUAGAUUAGGCUGUUGGUGAGGUAAUGGCUCACCAAACCUGUAAUCUAUAGCUGGUCUGAGAGGACAAUCAGCCACACUGGGACUGAGACACGGCCCAGACUCCUACGGGAGGCAGCAGUGGGGAAUAUUGGACAAUGGGGGAAACCCUGAUCCAGCAAUGCCGCGUGAGUGAUGAAGGCCCUAGGGUUGUAAAACUCUUUCAGAAGUGAAGAUGAUGACGGUAACUUCAGAAGAAGCUCCGGCUAACUCCGUGCCAGCAGCCGCGGUAAUACGGAGGGAGCUAGCGUUGUUCGGAAUUACUGGGCGUAAAGAGCGUGUAGGCUGUUAGGUAAGUCAGAGGUGAAAUCCCUAAGCUCAACUUAGGAACCGCCUUUGAUACUAUCUUACUAGAGAUCGAGAGAAGUUAGCGGAAUUCCAAGUGUAGAGGUGAAAUUCGUAGAUAUUUGGAAGAACACCAGUGGCGAAAGCGGCUAACUGGCUCGUAUCUGACGCUGAGACGCGAAAGCGUGGGUAGCAAACAGGAUUAGAUACCCU